UGGGGAAUUUUGGACAAUGGGCGCAAGCCUGAUCCAGCAAUGCCGCGUGCAGGCUGAAGGCCUUCGGGUUGUAAACUGCUUUUGUACGGAGCGAAAAGGUCUGCCCUAAUACGGUGGGCUCAUGACGGUACCGUAAGAAUAAGCACCGGCUAACUACGUGCCAGCAGCCGCGGUAAUACGUAGGGUGCGAGCGUUAAUCGGAAUUACUGGCCGUAAAGCGUGCGCAGGCGGUUAUAUAAGACAGAUGUGAAAUCCCCGGGCUCAACCUGGGACCUGCAUUUGUUACUGGGUAACUUGAGUACAGGAGAGGGGGAUGGAAUUUCGCGUGUAGCGGUGAAAUGCGUAGAGAUCGGAAGGAACACCAAUGGCGAAGGCGGUCCCCUGGGCCAAAACUGACGCUCAGGUACGAAAGCGUGGGGAGCAAACA
rnacentral:rRNA from 1 species